GCGGGCGGGUGGGGGGGGGCGCCCCGCCUCACAGUUUGGGAACCGCUGGUAUAGACGACCACCUAUUGUUUCAAUCAAUCAGCUGUGUUUCAGUACAAUGUCUAUAUGGGGUACAUGUCAAUGAAGCCAAAUGGUACUUAUGUCAGUGUCCUAGUUUGCCCUACAUUGCAAUAACAACGAUAGAGACCUUUGAAAAUUGGACCAUCCAAACCUUUAUUCAAAGAAAGCACUGUUGUGAUAUUUAAAAAAGGCAAGAAACAAUGCUUAACCUACUGUACCAGUGAGUGGAUGAGUUGUUGUGCAGCACCAAUACCUACCAAUGAGUGGAUGAGUUGUUGUGCAGCACCAAUACCUACCAAUGAGUGGAUGAGGUGUUGUGCAGCACCAAUACCUACCAAUGAGUGGAUGAGGUGUUGUGCAGCACCAAUACCUACCACUGAGUGGAUGAGGUGAUGUGCAGCACCAAUACCUACCACUGAGUGGAUGAGGUGUCGUGCAGCACCAAUACCUACCACUGAGUGGAUGAGGUGUUGUGCAGCACCAAUACCUACCACUGAGUGGAUGAGGUGUUGUGCAGCACCAAUACCUACCAGUGAGUGGAUGAGGUGAUGUGCAGCACCAAUACCUACCACUGAGUGGAUGAGGUGUUGUGCAGCACCAAUACCUACCAGUGAGUGGAUGAGGUGUUGUGCAGCACCAAUACCUACCAGUGAGUGGAUGAGGUGUCGUGCAGCACCAAUACCUACCACUGAGUGGAUGAGGUGUCGUGCAGCACCAAUACCUACCACUGAGUGGAUGAGGUGAUGUGCAUCACCAAUACCUACCAGUGAGUGGAUGAGGUGAUGUGCAGCACCAAUACCUACCAGUGAGUGGAUGAGGUGUUGUGCAGCACCAAUACCUACCACUGAGUGGAUGAGGUGAUGUGCAGCACCAAUACCUACCACUGAGUGGAUGAGGUGUCGUGCAGCACCAAUACCUACCACUGAGUGGAUGAGGUUAUGUGCAGCACCAAUACCUACCACUGAGUGGAUGAGGUGUCGUGCAGCACCAAUACCUACCACUGAGUGGAUGAGGUGUCGUGCAGCACCAAUACCUACCACUGAGUGGAUGAGGUUAUGUGCAGAGUUAGUUUUUUUUGUCUUACCUUGUGAGAGGUAGUGUGUGGUUCAUAUAGCCCAUGCAGUGGGAUGUGUUCAUCAUAUCUUAAACAAUUAUAAUAACAAUCAUUUAUACCCGUC